CUCAUAAUCCAGCUCUGGUUUUAUUCAUUUAUUAUUGACCUAAACAAAGAGAUGUAGUUCCUUUAGACUAUGGUAUGAUUGCCAAGCAAACAUGGACCACUGAAUGAGAAGCCCGUCGCUGUAUAUUGAGCUCCCUAUAAAUUCACCCCGCUCAUUCAGGAGAGACAUUCAUCCUUCACUCACAACAAGAGGCUCUUUCUCGGGACUUCUCGGACUGAAACCAGCGCUGCUGAUAAACAUGGAUCCCUGUGACUGCGCCAAGAGUGAGUGCUGCUCUGCGUCUCGUGUUGUUUGUCAGUGUGAUGGUGACUUUUGCUUUUGUAUGAAGAAGCUGUCAUCUUCCUUUUUUAACUCCAAACCUUACUUCAUGUGUUUCUCUAACGUAGCUGGAAGCUGCAGCUGUGGUUCAAACUGCAAAUGCACAAACUGCCAGUGUGCAACCUGCAAGAAGAGCUGCUGCCCCUGCUGUCCAUCUGGCUGCAGCAAGUGUGCCUCGGGAUGCGUGUGCAAGGACAAAUCCUGUGACUCCAGCUGCUGUCAGUGAAGACCGCACUGUUACUGCUAACCCAGGGUGUAAAUUUGUAUGUUAUUGCCACUGUAGCAUGUAGCCUCCACUGAUGUUUGUCUUUUUUUUUUAAGGCCAAUAAAUGCCAAUGAAUAUCUAAGCUGUACAUGCUGUGAGUGAAGUCCUUCUAAAGUGUUGGUUAGUGGUGCAGUAUCAACCUGGUGGUCCCAGAGUCAAUCUUGGAGACUCCAUGCUCUCCACGUUUUGUUCAACAUCUGUGUGUGGCCCUGAGUUGAGAGCAAACAUGUUGGAUGUUGAAAAAUACAAGAAAGUGUGCUUGGUGUAGACCUUGUCUGGCUGAAAAAUGUCAAAUCUAACAUCAGUGCAGUAAAACGUGAGCUCAUCUUACACCACUUAAGCAUGUAGUGCCAAAAGACUUGUGGUGUUGCAUAAACACUUGUCCAUGCCUUGAAGUAAGCACAUGAUGCUUGUCCAAAGAUAUUCUGAGGUGGUUGUACUAAAGUCUUUUCCUGGCUGAUUUGGGUUCAACUGACCCUGCACUUCUCAUUAAAGGGGAAUUCCUUAAAAAUGCUCAGUAUUAGAGAAACUUCAAGUCAGAGCUGGUUAAUGUGGCAGUGAUGGGAACCAUAAGACCAUAAUAUGGGCUUGGGAGAAUUCGGAGGUGAGGGAAAGUGUUCGGUGUCACACUACGUUACCGAAAAGCGGUCACUGAGAGCUCGGCGCGGUCUUUCGUCUUCCUCUAAGAUCACAGUGUGUGAUUAUACUCCCUCUGGCUGUUGUAUGACGCUGUUCCUUAUAAUGAAACAGACGGUAUAUUAUAGCUUUUGUAUUUCUGUCUGAAGCCCCAGACGCUCUUUUCUCUGUAAAAUUCUCAAAUAAAUCCUUAACUAAGCAUCACCUCCUGUCAGGGUCUCAGUGCAGACUAUCAACUGUGACAGUUUGGGACGAGACACGGAAUCAUCUGUAAACCAUGAUAUUCAUAAUGAUAUCAGUACAACCAGCAUGAC
ensembl:lncRNA